rnacentral:rRNA from 1 species
CAGGAUGAACGCUAGCGACAGGCUUAACACAUGCUUGUCGAGGGGCAGCGGGGGCGUAGCAAUAUGCCUGCCGGCGACCGGCGCACGGGUGAGUAACACGUAUGUAACCUGCCCUAUGCAGGGGGAUAACCCGGAGAAAUCCGGCCUAAUACCGCGUAACACCUUUGGGGAGCAUUCCCUUGGGGUUAAAGGAGAGAUCCGGCAUAGGAUGGACAUGCGUCGCAUUAGGUAGACGGCGGGGUAACGGCCCACCGUGCCGACGAUGCGUAGGGGUUCUGAGAGGAAGGCCCCCCACACUGGUACUGAGACACGGACCAGACUCCUACGGGAGGCAGCAGUGAGGAAUAUUGGUCAAUGGCCGAGAGGCUGAACCAGCCAAGUCGCGUGAGGGAAGAAUGUCCUAAGGAUUGUAAACCUCUUUUGUCGGGGAGCAAAAAGGCUCUGCGGAGUCGUAUUGAGAGUACCCGAAGAAAAAGCAUCGGCUAACUCCGUGCCAGCAGCCGCGGUAAUACGGAGGAUGCGAGCGUUAUCCGGAUUUAUUGGGUUUAAAGGGUGCGCAGGCGGCGUGUCAAGCAAGCGGUAAAAUAGCGGGGCUCAACCCCGUCGAGCCGUUUGAACUGGCGCGCUUGAGUUCAGGCGAGGUAGGCGGAAUUCGUGGUGUAGCGGUGAAAUGCAUAGAUAUCACGAAGAACUCCGAUUGCGAAGGCAGCUUACCAGUCUGCGACUGACGCUCAGGCACGAAAGUGUGGGUAUCGAACAGGAUUAGAUACCCUGGUAGUCCACACAGUAAACGAUGAGCGCUAGGUGUCCGGGUCGCAUGAGACUUGGGUGCCCGAGCGAAAGCGUUAAGCGCUCCACCUGGGGAGUACGCCGGCAACGGUGAAACUCAAAGGAAUUGACGGGGGCCCGCACAAGCGGAGGAACAUGUGGUUUAAUUCGAUGAUACGCGAGGAACCUUACCCGGGCUCAAACGACUCAGGAAUAUAUUGGAAACGAUGUAGCCAGCAAUGGUCUGAGUCGAGGUGCUGCAUGGUUGUCGUCAGCUCGUGCCGUGAGGUGUCGGCUUAAGUGCCAUAACGAGCGCAACCCCUACCGCCAGUUGCCAACGGGUAAAGCCGGGAACUCUGGCGGGACUGCCGGCGCAAGCUGCGAGGAAGGCGGGGAUGACGUCAAAUCAGCACGGCCCUUACGUCCGGGGCGACACACGUGUUACAAUGGCAGGUACAGCGGGAAGCCACCUGGUGACAGGGAGCGGAACCCGAAAGCCUGUCUCAGUUCGGAUUGGAGUCUGCAACUCGACUCCAUGAAGCUGGAUUCGAUAGUAAUCGCGCAUCAGCCAUGGCGCGGUGAAUACG